AAUCCAUGGUGAAGGCCCCUUCUCAAAAGAUCCUUGUAUCUCUUCCAUGAAUCGUAGAGUGUUUCUAAAUCCAUCUGUACAAAAGAAGAGAUAUCAUUACGUAAUU
rnacentral:snoRNA from 1 species